rnacentral:rRNA from 1 species
GAUGAACGCUGGCGGCGUGCCUAAUACAUGCAAGUAGAACGCUGAAGCUUGGUGCUUGCACCGAGCGGAUGAGUUGCGAACGGGUGAGUAACGCGUAGGUAACCUGCCUCUUAGCGGGGGAUAACUAUUGGAAACGAUAGCUAAUACCGCAUAAAAGUCGACAUUGCAUGAUGUUGAUUUGAAAGGUGCAAAUGCAUCACUAAGAGAUGGACCUGCGUUGUAUUAGCUAGUUGGUGAGGUAACGGCUCACCAAGGCGACGAUACAUAGCCGACCUGAGAGGGUGAUCGGCCACACUGGGACUGAGACACGGCCCAGACUCCUACGGGAGGCAGCAGUAGGGAAUCUUCGGCAAUGGGGGCAACCCUGACCGAGCAACGCCGCGUGAGUGAAGAAGGUUUUCGGAUCGUAAAGCUCUGUUGUAAGAGAAGAACGAGUGUGAGAGUGGAAAGUUCACACUGUGACGGUAACUUACCAGAAAGGGACGGCUAACUACGUGCCAGCAGCCGCGGUAAUACGUAGGUCCCGAGCGUUAUCCGGAUUUAUUGGGCGUAAAGUGAGCGCAGGCGGUUAGAUAAGUCUGAAGUUAAAGGCUGUGGCUUAACCAUAGUACGCUUUGGAAACUGUUUAACUUGAGUGCAGAAGGGGAGAGUGGAAUUCCAUGUGUAGCGGUGAAAUGCGUAGAUAUAUGGAGGAACACCGGUGGCGAAAGCGGCUCUCUGGUCUGUAACUGACGCUGAGGCUCGAAAGCGUGGGGAGCAAACAGG